CCUACGGGAGGCAGCAGUGGGGAAUAUUGCGCAAUGGGCGAAAGCCUGACGCAGCGACGCCGCGUGAGGGAUGAAGGUCUUCGGAUCGUAAACCUCUGUCAGCAGGGAAGAACGGUCACUGUGCUAAUCAGCAGUGAAUUGACGGUACCUGCAAAGGAAGCACCGGCUAACUCCGUGCCAGCAGCCGCGGUAAUACGGAGGGUGCGAGCGUUAAUCGGAAUUACUGGGCGUAAAGCGCUCGUAGGCGGUAUGUCAAGUCAAGGGUGAAAUCCCCGCGCUCAACGUGGGAACUGCCUUUGAGACUGGGUAACUGGAGGGGGUGAGAGGAUAGUGGAAUUCCAGGUGUAGGGGUGAAAUGCGUAGAUAUCUGGAGGAACAUCAGUGGCGAAGGCGACUAUCUGGCACAUAACUGACGCUGAGGAGCGAAAGCGUGGGUAGCAAACAGGAUUAGAUACCCCGGUAGUC
rnacentral:rRNA from 1 species